GACGAACGCUGGCGGCGUGCUUAACACAUGCAAGUCGAACGGAAAGGCCCCUUUGGGGGUCCUCGAGUGGCGAACGGGUGAGUAACACGUGAGUAACCUGCCCUUGACUUCGGGAUAACUUCAGGAAACUGGGGCUAAUACCGGAUAGGAAUCCUUGCUGCAUGGUGGGGGUUGGAAAGCUUCGGCGGUUUUGGAUGGACUCGCGGCUUAUCAGCUUGUUGGUGGGGUAGUGGCUUACCAAGGCUUUGACGGGUAGCCGGCCUGAGAGGGCGACCGGCCACAUUGGGACUGAGAUACGGCCCAGACUCCUACGGGAGGCAGCAGUGGGGAAUAUUGCACAAUGGGCGGCAGCCUGAUGCAGCAACGCCGCGUGCGGGAUGACGGCCUUCGGGUUGUAAACCGCUUUCAGCAGGGGCGAAGCUUGUGGUGACGGUACCUGCAGAAGAAGCACCGGCUAACUACGUG
rnacentral:rRNA from 1 species